rnacentral:rRNA from 1 species
CUACGGAGGGGGUUAGCGUUGUUCGGAAUUACUGGGCGUAAAGCGCACGUAGGCGGAUUGGAAAGUUGGGGGUGAAAUCCCAGGGCUCAACCCUGGAACUGCCUCCAAAACUAACAGUCUAGAGUUCGAGAGAGGUGAGUGGAAUUCCAAGUGUAGAGGUGAAAUUCGUAGAUAUUUGGAGGAACACCAGUGGCGAAGGCGGCUCACUGGCUCGAUACUGACGCUGAGGUGCGAAAGCGUGGGGAGCAAACAGGAGUAGAAACCCCGGUAGUCC